rnacentral:rRNA from 1 species
AAAAUCUUCUUGAACUUUAAGGGGAACCUUCCUCUAAGGCUAAAUAAUAAACAUAAGCGAUAGUGUACUAGUACCGUGAGGGAAAUUUGUAAAAAGUUAUUUUAUAAGCAGUUCAAGCUAAAAAAAAGUUAGAACGUACCUUUUGCAUAAUGGGUCACCAAGUUAAUUUUGGAUGCGAGUUGGCGCGUAGUUAAACCAAUCAUAAGUAAUGAUUAGUGUCUAAAAUUAGACCCGAAGCCUGGUGAUUUUACCAUAAUCAGGAUUAUAAAAGUCCGAACGGCAUAUCGUUGCAAAGAUAUCCGAAGAAUUGUGGUAGGUAUAGUGAAAGACAACACUGACCAGGAAAGCUGGUUUUCUGCGAAACCUAUAAAAGUAGGUAAUUUUAGUAACAUCUUAGUAGGUACAGAACUUAAUCUCAGACAAAUAAUAUAUUUGUAUAUAUCGGGGGAUCGUGAAGAUUUUAUCGGUGAGUAUGUAGACUCGGAAUGACAAAGAUGAAUCUAAGAUAAUCAGACAUAGAGUGAUAAGGUUGUAUGUCAAAAGGGAAACAGCCCAGAGCAAAAGUUAAGGCUCCAAAAUUUAUAGUUAAGUGAAAUUAAGAAAGUUUCUAUUUAAGCCGACAAGGAGAUGGGCUUAGAAGCAGCCAUAAUUUAAUGACCUCGUAAUAGAGCACUUGUUAAAUCUUUAGAAGCGUCGAAAAUUCAACGGAUCUAAACUAUAUGCCGAAACUUUGUCCAUUUAUAUUGUUAUUUAUUCAUAAUUGUAUAAAAGGGGUAGCAGAACAUUGGAUUAACAAUAGAAAUUCUUUUUUUAAAGGAAUAUGAUAGUAAUUCAAGAGAUAAUGGUGACAUUAGUAACAAUAAGAAGACAAUAAUAUAUUGCUAGUCUAAUAUAGUAAGUCUCCGCCUAAAGCUUAUGGUCCACAAAAAGUAACGGCCUCUAAAUUAAAAAUCUAAAGGUUUUGAUGAUGAGAAA